rnacentral:rRNA from 1 species
UACGUAGGGUGCGAGCGUUAAUCGGAAUUACUGGGCGUAAAGCGUGCGCAGGCGGUUUUGUAAGCCAGAUGUGAAAUCCCCGGGCUCAACCUGGGAACUGCAUUUGUGACUGCACAGCUGGAGUGCGGCAGAGGGGGAUGGAAUUCCGCGUGUAGCAGUGAAAUGCGUAGAUAUGCGGAGGAACACCGAUGGCGAAGGCAAUCCCCUGGGCCUGCACUGACGCUCAUGCACGAAAGCGUGGGGAGCGAACAGG